GGUAGGGUAAAGCAGUGGUAGCUUGCGUGGCUCAUAACCACGGUGUCGGAGGUUCGAAUCCUCCCCCUGCCC
rnacentral:tRNA from 1 species